UCACAUCUGCAGGCUGCAGGCCCCAGGCUGGGCUGGGAGAGUAUCUCUUGGAAAGGCUCACCCUCAAGCACAACUAGGAGC
rnacentral:pre_miRNA from 1 species